rnacentral:rRNA from 1 species
GGUAAGUACGGAGCAGGAGCCGUGGGAAGACGAGUGGGGAGAGGUGUGGUCGGAUCUACUGGGCGGAAAGUGCGCGCAGGCGGCAGACCAAGUCAGGCGGGAAAGCCCCGGGCUUAACCUUGGAACUGAGUCUGGGACUGGUUUGCUAGAGAUCGGGAGAGGAGAGUGGAAUUCCCAGUGUAGAGGUGAAAUGCGUAGAUAUUGGGAAGAACACCGGUGGCGAAGGCGGCUCUCUGGACCGAGACUGACGCUGAGGCGCGAAAGCGUGGGGAGCAAACAGGAUUAGAUACCCCGGUAGUC